CCAGACAGCCAGGAUGUUGGCUUAGAAGCAGCCAUCAUUUAAAGAAAGCGUAAUAGCUCACUGGUCGAGUCGGCCUGCGCGGAAGAUGUAACGGGGCUAAACCAUGCACCGAAGCUGCGGCAGCGACACUGUGUGUUGUUGGGUAGGGGAGCGUUCUGUAAGCCUGUGAAGGUGUGCUGUGAGGCAUGCUGGAGGUAUCAGAAGUGCGAAUGCUGACAUAAGUAACGAUAAAGCGGGUGAAAAGCCCGCUCGCCGGAAGAC
rnacentral:rRNA from 1 species